rnacentral:rRNA from 1 species
GACGAACGCUGGCGGCGUGCUUAACACAUGCAAGUCGAACGGAAAGGCCCUGCUUUUGUUGGGUGCUCGAGUGGCGAACGGGUGAGUAACACGCGAGUAACCUGCCCUUGACUUUGUGAUAACUUCAGGAAACUGGGGCUAAUACCGGAUAGGAGCUCUUGCUGCAUGGUGGGGGUUGGAAAGUUUCGGCGUUUGUGGAUGGACUCGCGGCUUAUCAGCUUGUUGGUGGGGUAGUGGCUUACGAAGGCUUUGACGGAUAGCCGGCCUGAGAGGGUGACCGGCCACAUUGGGACUACGAUACGGACCAGACUCCUACGGGAGGCAGCAGUGGGGAAUCUUGCAGAAUGGGCGGAAGCCUGAUGCAGCAGCGCCGCGUGCGGGAUGCCGGCCUUCGGGUUGUGAACCGAUUUCGCCUGUGACAAAGCGUGAGUGACGGUAAUGGGUAAAGAAGCACCGGCUAACUACGUG